AAAAAGAAAAAGAGAAGAAGGAGAAGAAGAAGAUGAAGAAUUAAAGUGCAUUAAUGGAAAUGGUAUGUAUUAAUCAACAAAUGUUGACCAAAGAUAGGGAAGAUCAAAGUCAAACAAUAGAAAACAGAAGCAAGAUGGAGAUUAGAAGUCAAGAAAUAAACAAAAUAUUUUUGGCAAUUUUAAUAUUUAAAAUAAAACUUGAAUUAAAAUAAUAAAGAAAGGUCAAACUUCAAAUUCACUUCAAAUUAACUUUGAAAAGUCCAAGUGAAUUAUCCCAAGUUCAAC
rnacentral:lncRNA from 1 species